CUGCAACGACGUCGUUGUAUUAAAACGGCCGUUUGCUUUGCCGUUUGGCUUUCUGAUCCGUACACCGUCCUCACACCCCAAAAAAAAAAAACAAACAUAUCAGAGUCAGCUCGCUCCCCGGGAAGUCGAAGUAACCUCUGGUUAAGCAAUUCUAUCAUCGAUCUUCAGUUGUCAAUGAUCUUUCAUGUUUACUUCUUUCCUUACUCGUUCUUUAAAAUUUUUGGUCCAAUUCACGUUUGCUAUCUUCUUUGUUUUUUAAUUUCUAUUGAUCCUAACUUUCCAUCAGUUUAUUGGCUUCAUCUUGCGGUUAAAUUUCACCUCUGAGCAUCUGAUUUAGCUGGAGAACGUCUCUGGAUCCGUCUAUAACUCUAACUUUGCUGUAAUUGUCUGUAAACCAGCUCUUGUUAAUAUAAAUUCGCCAUGUUUGGUUCUCUCCAUUCAUUAGAGUUUUGAUUUUAGCUUGUAAUUUGCAUUCAUAUGCUUAAAUGUUUUGCAGCAAGUUAAACAAGAAUUUCAUAGCUUUUGGAGUGAGAAUGAAAGGUCAUGAAGCAAAGGUACGGUUCAUUUACCUCGUCUUUUACCUUUCAUCUGUGGAAAUGAUGGGUUUCGAGCCGUGUUUUUAUGGGCAAGUGUUCUAACUUUGAACUGUUCACGGCCACUUAGAUUUAAAAUCUAUGUGGAAGAUCAUCAACCAGUGCAAUAAAAAGGGAG
rnacentral:lncRNA from 1 species